ACGUCGGGAGCAGGAGCGAGCGGCCAGCCGCGCGGCGCCUCGUGGGGAUGAAUGGGAGGCGCAGGGGGCGGCGGGCCCCGCGAGGCCGCCCGUCCUCCAGCCCCCGCGGCGCUCAUCGUCCUUACCAUCGCGACCACCGGCGAGCGCUGCACCCCGCUAGCCGCCGACUCCGCCGCUGCCCGCCCCUCGUGACCGGAGCGGCUGCCGCUACAACCAAGCGACCCGCGCUAAGAGAAAUGGCCGACAAAAGCGGCCUGACCUUUCACCUCACGCCGCGUUGUCUCGGCUUCUGUGAUUGGCCACCAAAGACGUGUUUACUGAUUGGAGGGGAUGGCGGUACUGUUUCCUAGCAACCAGGGCCAUCUGCCUUGUCCCGGUCAUUAUAAGGGCUAUACAUAAAAGUUCCAAGAGGAAGGAAUGAUACAUGAACUGUUUCCUGAUGCACGUUGACUGAUUGUGACAAGACAAACAGGAAUGUCUGCUGAAUGACCCUUCUAGAUCCCUGUGGGUGUCUUGGCAAUGAGCUGGCCAGGCCUGGUGGCUUCUUCUUGCCUCUCUCCAAGGACUUGCAGUUCUGGGCAGCUGUUGUUCCCUGCACUGGAAUGUGACCUCGAUGAGUAACUGGUACCCAUGUGCGGACUGAUCUCCCUCCAUUCACAAGACUCUUCCCGCAGGGCAGAAGCAGGCAAGGCUGCCUCUAGAGUCUUUGAAGUUCAGGCCACCCCCCAGGCAAAUGUAACAUGAAGGUGCCAGGCCUAUGGAGGACUUGUCUUUCUGUAGAUUCCUGCCAGGUUUGUGUGGCCCUCUGCUCAGCUGGGGGCUAGCCAAGGCGUCAUGCAGAUAGCUCAGUGAAUACAGGUGCGUGCUGCUGCCAAGCCAGACAACUUGAGUCAGAUCCUGGAACCUACAGGGGGAAAGGGGAGAAUACACCCCUGAGGCUUGUUCUUUGACCCCACAUAUGCACUGUGACGAAAAUAUGUGACUACACGUGACCUACAAGCCUGCACAGCUAUGCACUUGUUUUGCUUCAAUAACAUAUGAACUAGUAUUGACACAUACUGGGAAUUAAUAUGCAUUCAAAGGAUUUCUUCAUAAGACAAUUUCCCCAUGCUUGCGGUGCACGGUGAGGAACGAGAGUGCUCUGCUCUUUACGCUCUUAUCCUGGACUGUGAUUAAAGCCACAUUAAUGCAAACAUGACUAAUUUGGAAUUUAUGGGAAUUCCAUUGAAGCUGAACUUAGCCAUUGUUCUCUGAAAAAAAAAUUAUUAAGAAAAUUACCACAUAAAAAAGGAUGCCAAAUGACUCCCUAGAGAGCCACAGAGACUUUCUGACUUCUAAGAGGCAUCCCAGAUACCACCAAAAAGGUCUUCAAAGACUGCCUUUCAGUUCAGAGGUUUUCAACUGUCUUCAGGAGGUCUCCAUUUAUAGGCUAUCCUAAAAGCUGCCAUCUUGCCAGGCUACAGACAGUAACCGAGCUGCCAGCUGGAGCAUGGUUUUAGGAAGGCAAUUUCAUGCCUUCACUGCCCACCAGAAGCCAGUUAAGCUUGCAUUAGGAAAAGCUCCAGUUUGUAGCGAUUCCCUGCAGCUCUCAUGUAAACCUCUCGGCCGACAUGGCUUCACGCGCCUUGGCAACAACAAGGUAAACAGCAUUAGUGUUUUCUCGUCAGUGCUUCUAAGUCACCAGCCUUUAUGCACAUAGGCACCUCCGUUCUAGUCACACAGCCAAUGAACAGAAUCCCCUCUGGGUCGGAGGUGACCCACAUCCCAGCGAACCUGUCUGGAAUCGGAUACAACUAACAGUCCACUGAGGUAACCCUGCAGCACAAUCUUGAAGGAAAAUAAAGGCUUCUUCCAUUGUACGGGGAGAGCAUAUCUGAGAAUACUGGCAUCAUAUAUGUGUGCCACCAGCAAGCAGAGGGGCAGACAGCCCUUCUGGAAGGAAGGUGUCACCACAGUUAUUGUCAAGACUGGAUUUCCAAGGACCUGCCAGAGUCAGCCAGAAGGAAAGGAGACUGCUCAUCUUUGAGACUGCAGGAAGCUCGCUAUGGGUGGCAAGGAGCCCAUGACACAAACAGAUUCAGCAUGGAAAAGCUUGAAUGCCAAGCCAGGCAGCGUGAAUCCAUCUGCUGAGGGGCAGGGAGCCAUGGAAUACGCCAAUAUGGGCAAAACA
rnacentral:lncRNA from 1 species